rnacentral:snRNA from 1 species
AAACUUACCUUUACCUUGAGUGUAUGGUUGAUCAUUAAGGACCAUUGCCUAUAACACUAACCUUCAUUGCAUUUUAAAAGGGGUGUUGUUUUAAGGCAUAUUCAACUGAUAGAGCCUACAUCAUAAUUUGUUGCAAAGGGAAUCUGCGUACGCGUAAUUUUUAA